UACGAAGGGGGCUAGCGUUGCUCGGAAUGACUGGGCGUAAAGGGUGCGUAGGCGGCAAGAUAAGUCAGGCGUGAAAUUCCUGGGCUCAACCUGGGGACUGCGUUUGAGACUGUUUAGCUAGAGGAUGGAAGAGGCUCGUGGAAUUCCCAGUGUAGAGGUGAAAUUCGUAGAUAUUGGGAAGAACACCGGUGGCGAAGGCGGCGAGCUGGUCCAUUACUGACGCUGAGGCACGAUAGCGUGGGGAGCAAACAGG
rnacentral:rRNA from 1 species